AUAUAUGCUGAGCACUGUAUGUGUGUAUGCGCAUGUAUUGUAAAUAAUCAUAUUUACUUCAUAUUUGAACAUAUCUACUUUAACAUAAAAGCAAUGGCUGACAACCAGGAGAGUUAUUGUUUCAUUGAAACAAAAGCCCUGAAUAUAACUGCUAAUGCCGCAUGUUUCUUGAUGUCAAAUAGUGAAAGGGGUAAAAUGUUAAAAGCCUUCAUAUCCGCCAGAGUGACUGACACAGUUAAUAUUCGCAAGAACUACAGCACCAAUUUCCAGCAGAACAAACAUGACAGUUUAUGACUUGGAUCAAUCUCACACUUCAGCUGGUCAGAGAAAUACAAACACCAAUUGAACCGCAUUUACAUUCCACCUUAAAAGAGCAAAAAAGUACAAAGUAAUGUGAAAUAUCCACCAUGAUACACACACACACACACACACACACACACACACACAUACAUACAUACAAAAAACAAAUCCCCAGCAGUAUAUAAUAAACCUGCAACUGCUACAUUUCUGACACGGCGCAUCCUGAAUGAGUACAAUUUACAGUAAGGAGAUGAAAAAUGUCAUCUACAGGCAUCUGACAACACGUCCAGCACUGAUGAUCAGACUCCAUUUGUAACCUGUUCCCUUUUGUUGAUUUGCCGUGUGAUAAAUUGCAUUUAGCAAAGCGGGACAGGCUAAACGGUCCUGACAACUUUUAUUGAUUUGCAUGGGAUAUAUGCAUGUAAUCCUGUUUGGAGGUAAACUGUGGCGCUAGCAAAAAAUCAAGUCAGUGGUUUCUCAGAGAGAAAAUUGCACGGGGAGGUGGAAUAGAGAGGGAGAGAGGGAGGCGUGGGCCGCCCAUUGGAAUCCAAGAACUUGUAUUAAGAUAUAUUGGUUGCAGAAUUCUUCAGGGCUUAAGCAUUAUUCAUAGCAGACCCUCUCCGUCUGAGGCUGUUUAUAAAAGCAGACAGCUUCAGCCGUGAUAGAGCUUCAACAACGGGGCCAGUGCCACUUAACAUGAGCCAAGUUCGCCAACAGUCUUGAUUUGCAAGCCCUCCGCAGAUCCUUGAUGAAUGACUUCGUCAGAUCAACAGCGAAAAACGGGAAGACAAAUGAGUUUGGGAUGAAGUGUACGAUCUGAGAGCGAUUCAUAUUGCUGCAGGCUGAUGGUGACAUGUUUCCAGAAGAAAAGAAAAAAACAUAUCGGCCCAAUAUGGAGGGGAGGAGACACAAUGGUCCGGCGAGGAACGUGGUCAUACAAAUGAGGCGAACUGUCGGUUGCCAGCCUGUGUUUGCGUAAGAGCUGCCGACAGUGACUUAAAAAGCCCUGUAAGAUUGUUUAUUCAGCGUUUUUUCUCCACAGCCUCUCAUACUUUACUUGCUCUUAUUAAAUGGAAACAAGAGAAUCACCUUCAAGUUUAUUAAUGACGGUCCUCCGGAUGAAAGAUGCCUGCAAAAAUUCCCAACAUCUGUUUGCUGCGCUCACUUCUCAGCGGGGCUGCACCUAUUUCUCAUGCUUAAUGAUGCUCAUCCACUCUGCAAGUUUUACGGACAAAUGUGUAUUUGGCCACAUUCAUCAUUCUGAAUGAGUGUUCUUGAUGAGGCAUCUGCUGGCCUGCUCCACUCCUUCUACUGCACUUUAACAAAUGACAUCUCUCUCCAUAUGUUUUUCAUUUAGGAGAAAUGUGGUGAUACACACACACGCACACACUCA